rnacentral:rRNA from 1 species
UGAGCAAUCUGCCCUUCACAUCGGAAUAAGCGUUGGAAACGACGUCUAAUGCCGAAUACGACCUCCUUUCGCAUGAUCGGAGGUGGAAAGCUCCGGCGGAGAAGGAUGAGCUCGCGGCCUAUCAGCUAGUUGGUGUGGGUAAUGGCCCACCAAGGCGACGACGGGUAGCCGGCCUGAGAGGGUGACCGGCCACACUGGGACUGAGACACGGCCCAGACUCCUACGGGAGCAG